UGGGGAAUAUUGGACAAUGGGCGCAAGCCUGAUCCAGCAAUGCCGCGUGUGUGAAGAAGGCCUUUUGGUUGUAAAGCACUUUAAGCGAGGAGGAGGCUACUUGGAUUAAUACUCUAGGAUAGUGGACGUUACUCGCAGAAUAAGCACCGGCUAACUCUGUGCCAGCAGCCGCGGUAAUACAGAGGGUGCGAGCGUUAAUCGGAUUUACUGGGCGUAAAGCGUGCGUAGGCGGCUUCUUAAGUCGGAUGUGAAAUCCCUGAGCUUAACUUAGGAAUUGCAUUCGAUACUGGGAAGCUAGAGUAUGGGAGAGGAUGGUAGAAUUCCAGGUGUAGCGGUGAAAUGCGUAGAGAUCUGGAGGAAUACCGAUGGCGAAGGCAGCCAUCUGGCCUAAUACUGACGCUGAGGUACGAAAGCAUGGGGAGCAAACAGG
rnacentral:rRNA from 1 species